GCCGGGUGUGGUAGUGCACACCUGUAAUCCCAGUGACAUGGGUGGCUGAGGCAGGAUUGCAAAUUCAAGGCCAGCCUUAG
rnacentral:sRNA from 1 species